AAUAGGGGAUCCUCAGCUAAAUUUGAAUUUCAGGUAAAUAACUAUUUUUUAUUUAAAAGUAUGUCCAAUGCAAUAUUUGGAACAUACUUAUGAUAAAACUAAUUUGUGCUUACUUGAAAUUCAAAUCUAACUGGAUAUAGUAUAUUUU
rnacentral:miRNA from 1 species